UGUUAGAUAACUUAAUUGAAAGUAAAAGUUUUUUAAGCUUAAAAUAGUGUUGGUUAUCUACACUUCUAAUAU
rnacentral:tRNA from 1 species